rnacentral:rRNA from 1 species
ACGCUCGACACCUACGGGAGGCAGCAGUGGGGAAUAUUGCACAAUGGGGGAAACCCUGAUGCAGCGACGCCGCGUGGAGGAAGAAGGUCUUCGGAUUGUAAACUCCUGUUGUUGGGGAAAAAGAGGAUGGUACCCAACAAGGAAGUGACGGCUAACUACGUGUCAGCAACCGCGGUAAUCUGAGCGGGCUGGCGAAGGC